rnacentral:lncRNA from 1 species
UGGGAAAAACUCUGCCUGGGUGACUUCAGCUCCCUGGCGUGGGUGCGAGAGGAGCUGAUUUCUGCCCCAGACCGUGGCUGAUGUUGCAGCGGAGAGGACACGGGGCCGUGGGGGGCCGCAUCCAGCCUCCCUGAGGAUGCCCGAUGGGGCGAGCGGGUGCCUCGGUCGUGGACGUGAGCCCCACAGGUGUUUUGAGCCGAUGGGCCCCCCUGCUUUUCAUGGUCUUCGACCUUUAAAGGCUGGAGCUGCAGCCCUCUCUCUUUCAGCCGUGUACCUGCCACGCUGCUGGAGUGGGAAAUCCCGCCAGGGCGCCUCGUGGACGCGUCUCUUCCCUAAACCAUCCUUACCUCCUUUCCCCGCUAGACCGAGUUACCUUCUGAUAGACUCUUGCCACGUGCUGGGCCGUGCUUUGGCAGAUGGGCUCGCCUCUUGCUUUGGCAACUUCCUCGCUUCUCCCAGCUCUCUGGUUUCCAUGCCCUUACGGGGUUUCUCUCCUCUCCUCUCCUCCCGCGGACCUGGGACAUCGAAGCUGUGCCAGACGAUGCCAAACGUUUUCCCCCAUUCCAUCCCUGUUUGAACUCCGUUUUGUUUUGGUUGUUUGCAAACACGGCUGCUGCUGCUUUUUUUCCUUUUUCUUUCAUGCUGCAAAAUAUAUCUUGAUUUUUUUUAUCUUCAUGGGCCAAACUCUCUUAUUUUGUAAGCUUGUCCGAGGUAGAUGGUUCUUGCUGCGGUGGUAAACGUGUGGUUCCUCCUUGCAUGGCGCAAACGCGAUGCGUUCCAUUAGGUCUCAUGCAACGAGCUGGGCUGUGGUGGAUAAAAUGCUUCUGUGCCUGAUGAGGGCAUUGUCCUUGGGCUGUGCCAAUGUGUCCGUGCAGCGAGCACCAGCUCUGGGGGCCCGGUGCUGCUGGUGGGUGGGAGCAGUGCCCUAGGUAGGGGUGUCUGGUGGGCUCUGCCCACUGCAGCCAGGCUGUGGGGCUGGGGGAGCACCGAGGCUGCUGCAGGUUUGUUCUGCAAGCAUUAGGAAGUGAGAAACGGGCAGGAUACAGAUGCCCCAAGCUGGGGGUGGAUAACGUAGAGAGGUGUGGACCCCUUGAAAGGGUGGCUGUAGGGUGCCAUCCUGCGCACCCUGCACAUAAAAUUGGUGCUUUCCCUUUGCAGGCAGGUCUGGAUGUGGAGAUGUGCUGCCUGGUUUUGUGGCAGGAGCUGUUGAGCGAUCUAGGCCAGGUAUUUUUCAGGUAACUUUGCUGUGCAAACCCACCGAUGGCUUGGGUUUUGUUUUUUUGAUGGUUUGGUUUUGCAGUGUUUACGUGAGCGAAAACGCAAGUCAGUGCCAGUGGGGAGAGCAGGAGGGUUUUGUGGCUGCUGGUAGGGCUCUGUUCCUGUGCCUGCCUGGGGCUGCGUGCACGGGCACUGAGAUGGGGUCUGUAGGAUGGGAGCCUGGAGCUCUCUUUGCAGCCCUCUCAUGGAUCUGCACCCUGACCCUGGGCUGAAGGCUCCAGGAGGUGCCAGGGGCACCUCUGGCACAGGAGGGCACCUUGUGGUGCCGCUGGUGUGGGUGGCUCCACGUGGAAGCCCCCCAUGCAGAAUGGGCCCCGUUUGCUCCCGGGAUGCUGGGAAGUGCUUGUGUGCGUACCUGGUGAUUUUCCUAGGGCAGGGAGUUCCCUGUUGCUGCUGUGUGUUGGUUACUUGGGGUUUCGAGGCUGUUCUGGGUGGCUGGUGGGCAUGAGGCUGAUGUGCGCUUCCUUGUCACCCUAUCCAGUGCCACCACGCUGUGCUUGUCACUGCCCGUGAGGGAGUUUUGGCAGGUGCCAAACUGCAGGGAAAGGUUUGCCCAGAAGGACUUCUGCUUUGGUUUCCCCCUCUCUAUAAAGAGAGUAACAGCCCUGCUGUGCCUACCUACAGGGGUGCUGAGGGCUUAGGGCUUGUGCUGAGCUCUCUGGCUGAGUCACAUCUGUGGCACCUGGGCAUGACACACGCCUCUCGGCUUACUGCUGCUCACAUCCUGCAGUUUGGGUUAGGAUGAAAUGUGCCUGGCAUUUUGGUUUCCCCUCCUCCUCAAGGCAGUGAGGGAGAAUUUGGAUUUCUCUGAGAUUUGGGCUGGUUUUGGCACGUGUUUUCCGCUGUGCUUCUGAGCUUGGGGUAUUUUUUCGGAGAGCAGGGAGGUUUUCCUGGGAGGCCUGAAGGCUUGCAGUCUGCAGGGGUUUCUCCACAUCCCGCUUGGGCUCGCUGCAGCCCUGAGCUGGCAGAGCUGAUGCUUUUUGUGUGGAAGGAAGUCUUUUCAAGGAGCCGGAGCUAAAAGCAAUGUAUAUAUGAGAUAUAAAUAUAUAGAGACGUGUAGGACAAGGGUAGAUAUGUAUGCGAAGUCUGGUAUAUUUGCAUGUAAAGGCAAUGUUUGUCUAUAGGGGGAGAGUGUUUAGAGCUCUGUUGGUAGUGGUGGGGGGGAUUGGGAUGGCCAAAGUCGGGCAGGGGGCGGGAGCAGCCAGGUUUGGGAUUUGGGAGCGGAUGGGCACAGGGCACCUCUCCACGCACCGUGGCAACAGGCCUGCCCUUCACUGUGUCCCUGUCCCUGCUACACAGGACCAGGUUUCUUUUUUAUGUUCCCCCCUUUAUUUUUGCUGUGUUCAUUGUACAUGACUCAUCAGUGGGCCGUGAUAAUGAGAAGGAGGUGGGAGCGAGGGGCCUUUUGCCUGCAUGUGGGGCAUUAAAGCGGAAAGAAACAUCACGUUGCCUCAGCUGUGGUGCCACUGCGAUCCUUCAAAGGGAAAGCAACGCCGUGCAGAAUCCCUUAUCUAAAAAUCCAUGUAGAUGCUGCUCUCUGGUUACUCACGUUAAAGCAUUUUGCUUUUGCAUCUGUGCUUCCCAGAAGAGCGUGAGUCAGACGAGAUGAGAGGGAUGCGGCUAAAUUGGCUGCGGAGCGCCGCGCGGGCAGGGCCAGGCUGUCCCAGCGGCGGUUCCUCUGCGGGACGAGAUGUUCUGCCUCCCUCCCAGGCGCCGUGUGGAGCCGGGUCUUUUUUUAAACUCAUUAGCAGGACUUUUUGGGGCAGGGGAUUCAUCCACCAAAGGCACCGGAGGCGACAUCAGAGCUCGCCUGCCCAAUGCGCAGCAGCGUUGCCGCUUUGCGCACUGAAUCAGGAGCCCCUUGCAGGGCACAAAGGCAGGCUGGACCCGCUGUGGUUGCAGGCAGUGAUGACGUGGGCUGAAAUUGCAAAGUGUGUGAUGGCUCUGGGCAUGGGGAUGGCUGAAUUAUUUUUUUUGGAUGCUCAUUGCCCACCAGGGAGCCCAUCCCCAUGCUGCUUCGGCAUGGGGUAACCCUUUAAAGGGGAUGUUGGCUCCCAUUUCCACCCUUCAGCUUGGUUUUGUUUUGUUUUUCUAGGUGGUUUUGCUUCUCUUUCUCUGUCCUUGCAGAGGAGAGGCUGUGAGGUGUAGCUGGUUCCUAUUAGAGGUGGUUGCUGAAAUCUGUUGGGAAAGCAUCUGUAGGGGAAAUGCACGAGCCAGGUACUGCAGGGCUGUUGCUGGCUGAGGAAGCAGCGAUGGCACGUGUGAUUUGGCACCUUCCGUGCACAGAAGAGAAGGAAGCUAGCACUGAUUUUUAUUUCCAUUAUGUCCACUGCUGCAUGCAGACUUCACAGCUUCAGGCUCCUGGGAGAGGCUGGAGGAUGGAGCCUGCUCCCCUCUCCGAGUGACUGGGAGGAGCUGGGGCCACACGAAGCAGUAUUUCCCCAAUUUCCCCAUUUCUGUGUUUUGGCCUGGCAGGUUUGUGCUGUCUAAACUGCCCAUCCCUUGUCGUGUGUGGCAGCGGGUGUCUCGCCCAGCGGUGCUGGGUGACCUCAGGACGUGUGCCCAAAGCAUCCCAAAUCCCUGGGGCUCUGGGUGAUUUUUGAUACGUGCAUGGACGGAUGAAGGACCGAAUAUGGGGAGGGGGCAGAGGGGCUGCUCAGGGUUUGGGGGUUUGGAUGCUGCAAGCAUGCGCCGUAGUGGUAGGUGAUAGGGGUUUUAUACUGGUUGCACUGGGGCAGGGUGUGCGGUACGGAGGGGCUGGCAUCCUUUAGUUUUUGCACUGGUCGGAGCAGGGGGGCGCAUGCCUGUCCCCUGCGGUGUCCCUGUGUGAGGCUGGGGGCUCUGGGGACACCAGGAACGGGGAGGGGGCUGCUGGGCACCGGCUCCAGCCACGCACAGCAGCCAGCCCCUGCUCAUCACCACGGGGGGGAGAAUUUGCCCAGGUUUUUGCUUAACCAUCGAAAUACCAAUUUCUCUCCCGGGGGGGAGUUUUGUGCCAGUUCUCUGCCGAGAGGGCUGCCAAGGGGGUGCCCAUCCUCAAGUCCCAGGCUUCAGCCCUGUGGUCUUGAAGCCCCUCUGUGAUUCCUGCCCACCCAGCACUUCAAAUAGGAAAUGACCAGAGAAACGAGCCCCAGUAUCUCUAUCUAAAUAAAGGAUAUUGGUGUAUCGAAACUGCGUUGUAU